rnacentral:misc_RNA from 1 species
AAUUCUCAAAUCCGAUCGAUUUGUUUCGACCUCGGAGCUUGGACUUUGGAGCGUGCUGGCGUCGGUCGGCUCCUCUCAAAUGCAUCAGCGGAAUCUAACGUUUCGGACGUCAGUGUGAUAAUCACGUUGCGCUGUCAACCGAUCCCGAAAGGCCCGCUCAUAAUGGUCUUCGGACAACUUUCAUAUCAA